UACGUAGGUGGCAAGCGUUGUCCGGAUUUAUUGGGUUUAAAGGGUGCGUAGGCGGUCCCAUAAAGUCAGUGGUGAAAUACUCUAGCUUAACUAGAGGGGUGCCAUUGAUACUGCGGGACUUGAGUGAGUUGAAGUGGGCGGAAUUGACGGUGUAGCGGUGAAAUGCUUAGAUAUCGUCAAGAACACCGAUAGUGAAGACAGCUCACUAAGCUCAAACUGACGCUGAGGCACGAAAGUGUGGGGAUCAAACAGG
rnacentral:rRNA from 1 species